rnacentral:rRNA from 1 species
UACGUAGGCGGAAUAAUAAGUCAGUGGUGAAAUCCUGCGGCUCAACCGUAGAACUGCCAUUGAUACUGUUAUUCUUGAAUGUAGUUGAGGUAGGCGGAAUGUGUAAUGUAGCGGUGAAAUGCUUAGAUAUUACACAGAACACCGAUUGCGAAGGCAGCUUACUAAACUAUGAUUGACGCUGAUGUACGAAAGCGUGAGGAGCGAACAGGAUUAGAUACCCUGGUAGUCC